CCCAGGACCAGCAGGACAUUCCCACACGUAUGCAUGGAUGGGGUCUUCUUGCAAAGCUCUGCAAUGCUGAGAAAUAAUAGCCCAAAAAGGAGAGGUGUCUGCAGCGCUGGGCUGCAACUGCAGCUUUCUACAUCUGUAAGUUGGAUGAUCUCAAGCACCAAAGGCAGUUCCAUAAGAUGGAGAAAAGCUGCCGGGCUGGCUGAGUGAUGCCAAAAGAAAUAAUCCAGCAGGUUUAGAGGAGCAGGUGUCUGUGGGCACCUGGCAGCAGCACACAUUCCCAGCUAUAGACAGAAGGGCGCAUCCAAAACCCACAGCAGUCCAAGAGGGCUCCAGGUGUGAGAUCCCAGCAGACAGAAGGCAUCCCAAGAUGAAUCCUCCUUCCUUGGCCGAAGGUGAGAAGUCUCAAACCCACACAUGGUCAGGCUGAUUGUGCCUUCUCUCUUCCAGGUACAAAGGACACUCCAACAGCCAUCGCAUCCACCCACCCAUCAGCGAUGGCAGUUACCAAAACCUGCAGAGAAACACAUCAGGAUGAGGGAACAGCAGCGACCUGCAGCAGGUCUGACACACAGGAAACAACCCAUCCACAGAAGGAGGAUAACCUCUUGGCAGGACAACGUGGCCAAAGCACCCCGCAGUGGGGCAGGGAGCAGAAUCCCCCCACUGCAAGGAUGUCCUGAUGGAAUGAGAGCCUGCAGCUGCUGUGCUGAGCCCUUCUGUGGGUCUGCUCUGCUGGAAAUCACACAGACCCCAAUGUCCCUCAGCAGGGGGACCCAGCAUCUUCCUCCCUCAAAAGCAAAUAGAAAUCACUGCAGCACACAGGAUUCCUUAGGAGGGAUUCUGAUUUAGCACUUGUCCGAUGGCUCCACGCUCACACGUACUACAGCAUGUGUGCACGCACAGCACUUUAUGGGGAUACACUGGGACUGCCCCGCUUCGUUAGGGCGCUGCUGCUCUCCAGCACAAAGUCCGUAUUUGUUUCCCUGCAGGGGUGGAAAUAAAGGGGGUUUUGUAUUUUCUUCCUCUUCUCUUUGCAGGCUGGAGUGAGUUUAUUUGACACUCCAGCACUCUUUGUGCGCUGAGUGCCCGAGGAUAAAUGCUACCCUUAAGAGUUACUUGGCGUUAGACAGAGGGACCCUCUUCAGAGGAGAAUGGGGGUUUGUUGGGAUGGGGCGGGGGGGGGCACAGGGGAGGGGGCCUCCGAAGAGUGCCUAUGCAGCCCUC
ensembl:lncRNA